GACGAAGGAUGCAAGCGUUAUCCGGAUUCAUUGGGUUUAAAGGGAGCGUAGGCGGAUUUGUAAGUCAGUGGUGAAAUCUCUUCGCUUAACGAAGAAACUGCCAUUGAUACUGCAGAUCUUGAGUACAGUUGCCGUUGGCGGAAUAUGACAUGUAGUGGUGAAAUACUUAGAUAUGUCAUAGAACACCGAUUGCGAAGGCAGCUAACGAAGCUGUAACUGACGCUGAGGCUCGAAAGUGCGGGGAUCAAACAGGAUUAGAUACCCUUUAGUCC
rnacentral:rRNA from 1 species